rnacentral:rRNA from 1 species
GAUGAACGCUAGCGGCAGGCUUAAUACAUGCAAGUCGAGGGGCAGCACAGAUAGCAAUAUUGGGUGGCGACCGGCAAACGGGUGCGGAACACGUACACAACCUUCCUUUUAGUGUGGGAUAGCCCAGAGAAAUUUGGAUUAAUACCACAUAGUAUAUUGGAGUGGCAUCACUUUGAUAUUAAAGAUUUAUCGCUAAAAGAUGGGUGUGCGUAUGAUUAGGUAGUUGGUAGAGGUAACGGCUCACCAAGCCUUCGAUCAUUAACUGGUGUGAGAGAACGACCAGUCACACGGGCACUGAGACACGGGCCCGACUCCUACGGGAGGCAGCAGUAAGGAAUAUUGGUCAAUGGACGGAAGUCUGAACCAGCCAUGCCGCGUGAAGGAUGACGGCCCUCUGGGUUGUAAACUUCUUUUAUGUGGGACGAAAAAGGGCCAUUUUUGGUCAACUGACGGUACCAUAGGAAUAAGCACCGGCUAACUCCGUGCCAGCAGCCGCGGUAA